CCUUUUCCCCCUCCAUAUUACUUUCGUUCUCACAACUGUCUGCGCUUUCUCUUGCAUAUUUACUUUAACUCCCAGUCUUACUCAACUUUCUUACAAUUCUCUAUCUAACUUUCACUUUCUCCUCCCUAGCUCAAAACAUCGCUGGUUUAAUAGCAUAUAGAUUUGAUAAUUUCAAUUACGCUUGAGAGAGAGAGAACAUAUAGAACCUGGAGAAACCACUUCAGGUUUGAACGCGGCCGAUUUCUUUCGGAGAACAAACACAUAAAAAUACAACAAUGAACGUAUUUUAUACCAUUAUAUUCCAUUCAAAUCGAUCCUGUACUUGAUUGGAACUUUUAUCCGGGAGGAUGAACUCAAAGCAUUCUGCAAUUUAUCCAAACACUCUAACGAUUCUACCAAUACAACUCAAAAAUACAACAGCAUGUGAUUUUGUAUGCCUAAACCAGAGAGUAUACGAUUCGAAUAUGCUAGGCCUGGCGACAGUGAAUGGAGACUCGAAACUGCGAUAGUUCGAGUGAGGCACCGUCACCACUAUUGCUAUAAUCUUCGCUUAUUUGAUCCUGCAUGAAUCAAAUUUCUAAUUUUGUUUCUUGUAACGACAGAAAUAUUGUUUCCAGUUGAAUCAUAUUGAAUCAUUAUUCUGUUAAAUGUAAUAAGCAGAGGUCACCCGAUGUGACGGUAUAAUUGUGAUUGGUAAGAAUUUGGGAUAAAGGUUGCAUGUGGGAAGUUGAGAAGGCUGAUCGCAAAAACAAAAAAAGGUGCAUGUUGCAUUGUCAUUACCAGGCACAUUGAAAGAAAUUGACGCAAGAUGAUUUUACUCAACUGUAACUGUUAUGACAUUUAUCACAACUGCUACGAAUUAAAAAUAAAUACAAAUGUUAGAAUGUUUUGA